rnacentral:rRNA from 1 species
GACGAACGCUGGCGGCGUGCUUAACACAUGCAAGUCGAACGGAAAGGCCCUGCUUUUGUGGGGUGCUCGAGUGGCGAACGGGUGAGUAACACGUGAGUAACCUGCCCUCGACUUUGGGAUAACUUCAGGAAACUGGGGCUAAUACCGGAUAGGAGCUCCUGCUGCAUGGUGGGGGUUGGAAAGUUUCGGCGGUUGGGGAUGGACUCGCGGCUUAUCAGCUUGUUGGUGGGGUAGUGGCUUACCAAGGCUUUGACGGGUAGCCGGCCUGAGAGGGGGACCGGCCACACGGGAACGGAGACACGGUCCAGAGUCGUAAGGGAGGCAGAAGGAGGGAAUCUGCAGCAAGGGGGGAAAGCCGGACGGAGAAACGCGGGGUGAGUGAGGAAGGUCUUCGGAUCGUAAAACUCUGGGAUUAGGGAAGAAAAAAGGUGGAAGUAACUAGGCACGUCGUGACGGUAACUAAUGAGAAAGAAACGGCUAACUACGUG